rnacentral:rRNA from 1 species
GAUGAACGCUGGCGGCGUGCCUAACACAUGCAAGUCGAACGGAGAUUACGGACGGAAGUUUUCUGAUGGAAGACUGUAAUUCUUAGUGGCGGACGGGUGAGUAACGCGUGGGCAACCUGCCCUAUACAGGGGGAUAGCAGCUGGAAACGGCUGAUAAGACCGCAUAAGUCGGUUAAAUCGCAUGAUUUGAUCGGGAAAUGAGCAAUCAGGUAUAGGAUGGGCCCGCGUCCGAUUAGCCAGUUGGCAGGGUAAAAGCCUACCAAAGCGACGAUCGGUAGACGGACUGAGAGGUCGGACGGCCACACUGGGACUGAGACACGGCCCAAACUCCUACGGGAGGCAGCAGUGGGGGAUAUUGCACAAUGGAGGGAACUCUGAUGCAGCGACGCUGCGUGAGUGAAGAAGUAUUUAGGUAUGUAAAGCUCUAUCAGCAGGGAAGAUGAUGACGGUACCUGACGAAGAAGCCCCGGCUAACUACGUG